CAUGAACUUUCUGUGUGCUCUGUGCUGCAGACAAGUGAAGCCAUGUGCACUCAGCUUGCCCUAACAGGGGAUCCUCUGCCUUCAGCAGAUUUCCACUCUGAUGCAGCUAACCUCGCUUCUGCAAUAACCUGCUGUUCAGUACAGCUGAUCUCUUCCUACAGCUUCCGCCUGCGGUGACGUCACACGCCAACUUCGGCUAGCGCUGCCGCUCUGAACUGCCAUCAAGGAUUACCCUCUCUAAACCGCUCUGUUUAAGCGCUUUCAAAGUAAACAGUACCAGAAACAUGUCAAAGGGUCUAUAAAGACAUUACUGACCAUGAAAUGAGAAGAUGCCUAGGGGAUUGCCAAUCCCACACAAGAAUUGUUUGUGGUCACAGGCCGGUGCCAAAUUCAAGAUCAUAGAACAGAUACAGAUGGACAUCAUAUUAUAUUUUUGGUGUUCUGUCAACAUUAUUGUGCAUCUGCAUUAUACUUGUACCCUAGGCCUAUACGAUAAGUUAUUCUCUGGUUUAUUACAAUGUCAUAUUUGAAAUGUUUUAAUACCUGGAAAAUUUGAAGCCUAAUAAAAGUUUACAUUAAUUUUGUCAA